rnacentral:rRNA from 1 species
GAUGAACGCUGGCGGCGUGCCUAAUACAUGCAAGUCGAGCGAACAGACGAGGAGCUUGCUCCUCUGACGUUAGCGGCGGACGGGUGAGUAACACGUGGAUAACCUACCUAUAAGACUGGGAUAACUUCGGGAAACCGGAGCUAAUACCGGAUAAUAUAUUGAACCGCAUGGUUCAAUAGUGAAAGACGGUUUUGCUGUCACUUAUAGAUGGAUCCGCGCCGCAUUAGCUAGUUGGUAAGGUAACGGCUUACCAAGGCAACGAUGCGUAGCCGACCUGAGAGGGUGAUCGGCCACACUGGAACUGAGACACGGUCCAGACUCCUACGGGAGGCAGCAGUAGGGAUCUUCCGCAAUGGGCGAAAGCCUGACGGAGCAACGCCGCGUGAGUGAUGAAGGUCUUCGGAUCGUAAAACUCUGUUAUUAGGGAAGAACAAAUGUGUAAGUAACUAUGCACGUCUUGACGGUACCUAAUCAGAAAGCCACGGCUAACUACGU